CUCCUUUGACGUUAGCGGCGGACGGGUGAGUAACACGUGGGUAACCUACCUAUAAGACUGGGAUAACUUCGGGAAACCGGAGCUAAUACCGGAUAAUAUUUCGAAACGCAUGGUUCGAUAGUGAAAGGUGGUUUUGCUAUCACUUAUAGAUGGACCCGCGCCGUAUUAGCUAGUUGGUAAGGUAACGGCUUACCAAGGCGACGAUACGUAGCCGACCUGAGAGGGUGAUCGGCCACACUGGAACUGAGACACGGUCCAGACUCCUACGGGAGGCAGCAGCG
rnacentral:rRNA from 1 species